UAUGUCACGUGUAUCAUUUAUAAGUCCAUGCGUAUCAAGCGUCAUACGCAGCCGGAGUAUCAAAUAACUUCCCCAUAUAAAAACCCCAAAACACGGACAGCCGCCUCCCUAUCCGGCGACAGCCAUGUCUUGCCUUCUCCAAAUCCAUCACAAUCCCCUCCCUUCUCUAAUUUUCACACCCCGCAGAAUGACGAAAAAGCCCCUGUCAAUUCCCAACCAAAGAUACAAAAUGCGAGCCUCGUACCAGCUGAAUCAGGGGCAGUCUCGUCUUUUCCACGAACUCCCCUCCGGCCUGAAGAUGGAGGUGAUAUUCCAGAAGCGUAACGGUACUGGCACAGGUGAGGAGAAACCGCCGCUCGUGUUCGUACACGGGAGCUUCCAUGCAGCCUGGUGCUGGGCCGAGCACUGGAUGCCGUUCUUUUCCGGGUCCGGAUACGAUUGCUACGCCGUUAGUCUUCUGGGCCAGGGUGAAAGUGAUCUGCCUAAUGGGCCAGCAGCUGGUACUCUUCAGACCCAUGCAAGUGAUGUAGCUAACUUCAUUCAGAAGGAAGUUGGGCUACCACCAGUGUUGGUUGGACAUUCAUUUGGAGGACUCAUCGUUCAGUAUUACAUCUCAAAUUUGAUGCCUCAACAUCUCUCAGACAAGCCAUCCAAUUACGAAAGGGUAGGUUUGCACCCAACACUUGCAGGAUCUGUGCUUGUGUGCUCCAUACCUCCUUCAGGGAAUAGUGGGUUGGUAUGGCGAUAUCUAUUGUCGAAACCUAUUGCUGCUUUCAAGGUGACACUCAGCUUGGCUGCAAAAGCUUUCAUGACUUCCUUGCCACUAUGCAAAGAAACAUUUUUCUCGGCAGGAGUGGAUGAUCAUAUAGUCCAGCGUUAUCAGGAGCUAAUGAAAGAAAGUUCAAGGAUGCCGCUCUUUGAUUUGAAGAAGCUUAAUGCAAUGCUGCCUCCUCCUUCAGUGCCAAAAGAUUUUGUGGAAAUACUCAUAAUGGGAGCAAGUGAUGACUUUAUAGUGGAUAUGGAAGGCCUCAGUGAAACGGCCCGGUUUUAUGGGGUGCCGCCAGUCUGCGUGGAAGGGGUUGCCCAUGAUAUGAUGCUUGAUAUGUCAUGGGAGAAAGGAGCUCGGGUAAUCUUAUCGUGGCUAAACAAGUUAAAUAAACAAGCUAUGCAAUGAUUCUUUCAAGGUAUUUGUUUCUCUAUUUCAGCAAAAUUCCCUUUGCUGGUUAAUCUCGUGGUCUUUCUUAUGUAUGUGGAAUAUGAAAAUAUUGGUGGUUCUUGAAAUGCAUUACUAGCAUGAUGAGGUGGUAUGAUUUAUUCUUCUGUAUUAGCAUUCCUUUUUAAAGGAUUGUUUCUUGUUUGGGACACCAUUUGAAACUGUAAACUAAGACAAAGUUGAAUUUUGGUUGUGGGUUAAGUGAGCACAAUUUCAAGGUGGGUGAAGAUCUAACCGAUGUUUUGGACCUGUGAAGUUACUGAAUCUAAAAAUCAGAAAGCUCCUUAUGUGAAUUAGGUAUUAUACACAAAAGAUGGUUUUAAGACAAUCAUUGUGGUGGCUGUGGGUGGCGCGAUAGGCAUGCUAAGGUGCAAUGUGAAGUGUUCAUGUAUUGGUGACAGUCUCAAAGACGAUAGAAGUUCUACAAAGAACACAAGUUGAUUGCCCACGAAUUUAACAGAAAUGAGAAAAGAGGGGAAAAGAAGGGAAAAGAAGGAUAUCUCUAACUAGAGAAAUGCUUGAAAGUAUAGACUCAGUGAAUGAUUUUUUAUUUGAAUAUUGAGGAACUUUUAUUUUGAUCUUGUUUGCCUUGUGUUAUGAUUACAGUAUAUGACUUAGCUAUAUAUUUUUAUAACUUUUCUGUUGUUUUUGUUU